GAUGAACGCUAGCGGCAGGCCUAACACAUGCAAGUCGAGGGGUAGAAGGAGCUUGCUCCUUUGAGACCGGCGCACGGGUGCGUAACGCGUAUGCAAUCUACCUUGUACAGGGGAAUAGCCCAGAGAAAUUUGGAUUAAUGCCCCAUAGUAUAUAACCUUCGCAUGUUGGUUAUAUUAAAGUUCCAACGGUACAAGAUGAGCAUGCGUCCCAUUAGUUAGUUGGUAAGGUAACGGCUUACCAAGACGAUGAUGGGUAGGGGUCCUGAGAGGGAGAUCCCCCACACUGGUACUGAGACACGGACCAGACUCCUACGGGAGGCAGCAGUGAGGAAUAUUGGUCAAUGGUCGCAAGACUGAACCAGCCAUGCCGCGUGCAGGAAGACGGUCCCAUGGAUUGUAAACUGCUUUUAUACAGGAAGAAACCCUCCCACGUGUGGGAGCUUGACGGUACUGUAGGAAUAAGGAUCGGCUAACUCCGUG
rnacentral:rRNA from 1 species